CGACUGCUCCCGCGGCUCCCUCAGGAUCUUCCUCGGGCUGGUCCAAGAUGGCGGCGCUCCCUGCACAGGGUUUCCUGUCACCCUCGCAAUGGGUCGGACCACAAAAGAAGGGGGGAGGAGGAUGCGCGCGCAGCCGGAGGAGCCCGGAAGAGGGUGGCCGGCGCCCGGCCUGUUGGCCACGCCCCUUCCGCAGUCCUCCCCUCUGGACUCGCCGCGACGCCCCCGAGCCCGCCCCACUGGUCCUCGCGCCAGAGGGGGCGGAGGCAGGCACUCACGCGCACGCGCAGUCUCUUGCCCUCGCCUCCUGGGGACGCUACUGCGCAGGUUCGCGUAGGACCUGCUGAGAAUUUGGCCACCACCUACCCUCUUCCAGCUUAGUCUUCUGUAUCGCUUUCCUCGAAAGUUUAGUGAGAAACGCUGGGCUGGAGGAAGCACAAGCUGAAAUCAAGACUGCCUCGAGAAAUAGCAAUAACCUCAGAUAUGCAGAUAACUCCACCCUUAUGGCAGAAAGUGAAAAAGAACUAAAGAGCCUCUUGAUGAAAGUGAAAGAGGAGAAUGAAAAAGUUGGCUUAAAGCUUACCAUUCAGAAAAUUAAGAUCAUGGCGUCCGGUCCCAUCACUUCAUGGCAAAUAGAUAGGGAAACAGUGGAAACAGUGGCUGACUUUAUUUUUCUGGGCUCCAAAAUCACUGCAGAUGGUGAUUGCAGCCAUGAAAUUAAAAGACGCUUACUCCUUGGAAGGAAAGUUAUGACCAACCUAGACAGCAUAUUGAAAAGCAGAGACAUUACUUUGCCAACAAAGGUCCGUCUAGUCAAGGCUAUGGUUUUUCCAGUGGUCAUGUAUGGAUGUGAGAGUUGGACUAUAAAGAAAGAUGAGUGCCAAAGAAUUGAUGCUUUUGAACUGUGGUGUUGGAGAAGACUCUUGAGAGUCCCUUGGACAGCAAGGAUAUCCAACCAGUCCAUCCUAAAGUAAAUCAGUCCCGAAUAUUCUUUGGAAGGACUGAUGCUGAAGCUGAAACUCCAGUACUUUGGCCACCUGAUGCGAAGAGCUGACUCAUUUGAAAAGACCCUGAUGCUGGGGAAGAUUGAGGGCAGGAGGAGAAGGAAAUGACAGAGGAUGAGACGGUUGGCUGGCAUCACCGACUCAACGAACAUGGAUGGGUUUGGGUGGACUCCGGGAGUUGGUGAUGGACAGGAAGACCUGGCGUGCUGCUGUUCAUGGGGUCGCAGACUCGGACACGACUGAGCGACUGAACUGAACUGAACGUGCAAGACCACAUUCUGACUUUCAUGGGCCCUGGGCACUUUUGCUUUGUGCUUGUGGAUAUAUGUUGCUUAAAACUCAACAUUCGGAAAACUAAGAUCAUGGCAUCUGGUCCCAUCACUUCAUGGCAAAUACAUGGGGAAACAAUGGAAAAAGUGACAGACUUUAUUUUGGGGGGCUCCAAAAUCACUGCAGAUGGUGACUGCAGCCAUGAAAUUAAAAGGCUCUUGCUCCUUGGAAGAAAAGUUAUGACCAACCUAGAUAGCAUAUUAAAAAGCAGAGACAUUACUUUGCCAACAAAAAAAAACAAAGUCCAUCUAGUCGAAGCUGUGGUUUUUCCAGUAGUCAUGUAUGGAUGGGAGAGUUGGACUAUAAUGCUGAGCACCAAAGAACUGAUGCUUUUGAACUGUGGUGUUGGAGAAGACUUUUGAGAGUCCCUUGGACAGCGAGGAGAUCCAACCAGUCCAUCCUAAAGGAAAGCAGUCCUGAAUAUUCAUUGGAAGGACUGGUCCUGAAGGUGAAACUCCAAUACUUUGGCCACCUGAUAUGAAGAACUGAUUCAUUUGAAUCAGUUGAAAAGAAUUCAUUUGAAAAGACCCUGAUACUGGGAAAGAUUGAAGGUGGGAGGAGAAGGGGACGACAGAGGAUGAGGUGGUUGGAUGGCAUCACCAGCUCAAUGGAGAGGAGUUUGAGUAAACUCCAGGAGUUAGUGGUGGACAGGGAGGCCUGGCGUGCUGCAGUCCAUGGGGUCACAAUGAGUCAUACAUUCCUGAGCAACUGAACUGAACUGAACUGUGGAUUUAUGUAUUUAUGUAAUAUGUAAUAUUUGUUUAAUAUAUAGUUCAUACUUUAUAACUGCACUAUAUAUAUAUAUAUAUAUAUACAGAUAAACAUUUGUAUAUAUAUAUACACAUGUAUAUAUACAGAUACACUAUAUAUACAAAUGAACAAAUUGUUACAUAGCAAAUCAUUUUCUUCAACCUAAAAGUUAAUUUUUCUCUUCUGAUUUUGAAAGAGUUUAAAAGAUCUCAUAGACCCCCUAAAAGUAUUGUGGACCCUAGUCACUGUGUCUCCUGUACCUGAUGGGUAAGAGGGCCCUGCCUCAGUCCACCAAAGUGAAGUGCAAGCUUGCUUUGGGCAUUCAAAACCUUUCGUAAGCUAGUUCUGUUGUGGGCAAGCGAGAUUUCAUUGGGAAAAAAAAUGUACUGGAAUUUAUAAGUAUCUUUUUUUUUCAUAGAAAGACUUGAGAGUGAAUCUCUGCUCCACAACUCACUAAUGAUGUCUUUGGCAUGUCACUUGAGUUCUCAGGUCUUCAGUCUCCUCAAAACUAAUAAUAAUAAUAAUAUAUAUAUAUAAAACAUGAGUCUUUGUGAAAAUUAAAUGAGAUAAUAUAUGCAAAA